AUGGCUCUUUAGGAAUAAAUGGAGUGGGGGUGUCACCGCUUUGGCUAAGGAUCAUUUAGUCUUUGGUGAUUAGAGUCAAUUGCAUUUUCUAGGUCAGUCCCAAAUUUGAGGCUAUUGCUUUUGUGGAGAGAAAAGAAACCUAAAGUAUGAAAAAUUAGUAAUUACCAGAUUGAAUAAAUAAAAUGUGGAGGAAAAAGCAAUUUACACAAAAUCCUCAUUUUAAAGAAAUUUGUCUUCUCUACCUUGUUUUUCUCAGACUGGACUCGACGAGAUGACUGGAAAAUUCUCUCAUGGUCACGUUCUCCGGUUGCCUCCACGUCUGGGCGUAUAGAGACCAGAAAAGAGCACUGAACUCACCCAAGCCACCGCGUUCAGGACGUCAAGGCAGCAUCUCUGUCCAGAACCAUCAAGUCCAAUGGUGGAUGCUCUCAAGCCGGUGCAGAUAUUGCCCGUGGCUUCUCCCGUGUGUGAAGAGCUAGCGAGGAAGAUAUUCCACUGUGCGGUUAAAAAUGAAAUAGAGUUACUGCUGGUAGUUAAGGAAUGAAUCGAUGCACGUAUGCAGAUAAGCAUGAAGACCAAGAGGCCCAUACGUGGACCAAGGUUGUCACGUUGCCUCCGUGUUGGGAAAGAGACAAAGUUUUCUGGAAGGAUUCCUUCAUUGAUAACGAUGUAAGCUAUUUUCAUGGGAAGGGAAGAACAAGUUGGCGCUAGUGAAUGAACUGGAGUGGUGUUAUCCUUCUGCCAUGGCUCUGAACUCUGUGUCAGGAGCCAAGAGACCAAUAGUGGACCUGCCUGAAGGGGUUUAGCGCCUUCCAUGAUGACAAGCUCUUUGGCGGCAUCUACACAGCAUAAGCGUAGAGACCUGGUGUGCAGCCGCCGGACCCGAAGGCAGGCUCCUUCCUGGAUGAGCAGGCGAGGAUGGCAGCGUUGUCUCUGGAUCCAGAAGGCCAGUGGUGGAAGCCGAAGGCCAGGCCAGGCUCCAUGGGGCUGAGACCCCUCCUCUGGCGGUGGUGGCAGGAGAGAUCCCAAGGAGUGGAGCCAUUCCCUGGGGAAGCCCCUGAAAGUGCAACAGUGGGUGUGACAGAGGAGCAGCAAUGUAAGUAAGCAUCAGGAACGUGGCCUUGGUCGCAGAGGUUGGUUGCAGUGUGGACACGAGGAGGAUGGAUGUAGAAGACAUAGCUUAUGUUUUGUGAAUAGCGAAGAGGAGUUUACUUCAAGGAGCACCUUCUAGAAUUGAUCCACAAAGAAGACAGACACAGGGGAGGAUAGAGGAAAGGUAUCGGAUCGAUGAUGACUGCUGGUGCGUGUAUGAGUCUUGUAUGAUGAAUACACAUCAGGAACUCUGAGAUCCAAUGCUGAUGCCGCUGAGUCCAAAGUCCUCCGGAAACUGAGCCAGGAGAACAUGGCUGCUCAGGCGGGACGGAGGGCCCCACUCCAUGGGGAAGGAGGGGUGAGCAGUUCAGGAGGUGGCCGGGUCUUGAGCUCAUCCACACACGUCUGGCUUGGCUUCCUCUCAAGGAGGCCAUGAUGGGCCUGAGAGGCAUGGAGCCCGGAGUGGGUGUCUGGUUGGAGCCCCAUGAGGCAGUGGUGGGGAUUGGUAGAGGAUGAGGCCAGGCCAGUGAGGAACGCCCUGUCUGGACCCCUGAGGUCGCAGAGCCUCCAGAGUCCACUGUGGGCUGGGCUGGGCUCCUUUGGGAGUGGGCUGGGAGUGGACCCAGUCCCGAUCUCGUUUGCUCAGGGGCUGGAGACCUUCAGGGGCCAGGGACCUCCGUCGUCAAUGUUUGGGUCCCGGCCGGGAUGGACUUGGGUGAUGGAGAAGCCUGGUCCAGUGACUCUUCAGUGGGAAGACCGGGGCGCAGGGAAGAAGGUGUCACGAGACCGGCCUGGUGGAUGCAGGUUAUCUGAUGGAUGGCUCAAGGGGGCCCGGACUCUGUCCUGGCAGGGAUCUGUGUCCUUGUGAAGAAACGGUGGUCCCGUUUAGGGGACUGAGUGCAGCCCAGCCCCAGCCUGACCUUCAACCCCCAAGCCCUGAGGUUCUGCCUCCUUGGGCUCGUAGCAGAAUCACCUGGACCCCGGGGAAGGAGCAGAACCGGCUGACGCUUGAGUCUGCUGAGUGCAGAAAGGGCGAGUCAGUGGCGGUCCUCCUCGCUUUCCCUGUCUCUCUGUCACUGUCCCUGACUCUCUGUCUCGGUGGCUCUGCCUCGGUCUGUCCCUCUUGUCUCUCGCCUGGCUCUCUCUGUCGCCGUACGGGUCUCUUUCCUUUCUGGCAGCUUCGCGUCUGUGUGGUGGGGUGCACACCAGACCCCGGCGAGCCGAUUGGGCCCGUUUCCCUGGUGAGACCCCUAGACGAUUCCUUCAGUGGGGGAGAUGGCCAAGGAAGCAGUGUGGCAGGCAGCCGCCAGGCCCGAAGGCCGGCUCCUUCCUGGAUGAGCAGGCGAGGAUGGCAGCGUUGUCUUUGGAGCCAGGGGACCAGUGGUGGAAGCCGAAGGCCGGGCCAGGCUGCGUGGGGCCGAGACCCCUCCUCUGGCGGUGGUGGCAGGAGAGAUCCCAAGAGUGUGUACCCCUCAGAGCAAUUGCACUGGAGAUGCUUUAGCAUCUUCCGUACGGACCCGAGCUCUGGGAUUGCCUCUGAACAUACGUGUUAGGACAUGGGAGAGUCACAGGACAUGCUCCCCGCUCUUUCGGCUUCUGCUGAGCUCAAGAUUGUCAGGCCGCCUCCGCGCCAGCAAAGAAGCGAAGGUGACCGUGGGGCAGGUUGUUGUUGGGUCGGGUGGUCUGUUUGCGGGUACUCAGGGUACUAUUAGAAAGCGUGGAAUGAAUCUGAAAGGUACUCGUCAUUCCACGCGAGAGGGGCUGCGCCUCACUGUCUGCUGAGGGAUGAUGGGCAGGACUGAGGUGGGAGAGUGGGAGAGAGAGCCCCUCGGUGGGAAAGGACGCUACAGACUGAGCUUAGGGAUUACGGAAAUGAACGAGGCGCAGAGACUCGGUCAUGGACCAGUGAUGAGGGUCGUGACGGGAGGAGUCCUGAACGAUGACAACAUCUGAAACUCUGAGGUCCAACCCAGCGCCCGAGUCGCCUCUUGCCUUGGGUGUCACUGUGCCUGUAGAGCGAUGUCAGGAAUACGGAGACAUCACCUCCUUGUGUUAUUUCACGGACUUAGAUUUGCUGCUCUGGCUAGAGCUGUGUUAGAGCCAUCAAGCCAGCAUAAGCUAACAUGUAAGGAAACACAGGGUGAUGCAGUGUCCAAGUAGGAACAUAUCUCGUGAGGGAAAGAGACUGUCCGUAAACCCUGAAAGCAGGGAUGCUCAUUAAGUAAAUGGGGCAGGGCCACCUCUCUGACCGAGGUUAGAUCGAAAAGCAGAAGUAAGGGUCGCUUUAACUGUUCUGCCUCAGACGAAUGGUUGAGUUUCUUAACAAGAAAAAUAUCUUGAGAAAGAAAAAAAAUAAAUUUCUACAUACUGAGUA
rnacentral:lncRNA from 1 species